rnacentral:rRNA from 1 species
GAUGAAUGCUGGCGGCGUGCCUAAUACAUGCAAGUCGAGCGGUAAGGCCCUUCGGGUACACGAGCGGCGGACGGCUGAGUAACGCGUGGGAACAUGCCCCAAAGUGAGGGAUAACGCACCGAAAGGUGUGCUAAUACCGCAUAUGGUCUUCGGAUUAAAGGAUUUAUCCGCUUUGGGAGUGGCCCGCGUACGAUUAGAUUGUUGGUGAGGUAACGGCUCACCAAGUCGACGAUCGUUAACUGGUCUGAGAGGAUGAUCAGUCAGACUGGAACUGAGACACGGUCCAGACUCCUACGGGAGGCAGCAGUAAGGAAUCUUCCACAAUGGGCGAAAGCCUGAUGGAGCAACGCCGCGUGCAGGAUGAAGGCCCUCGGGUCGUAAACUGCUUUAUGAGUGAAGAAUAUGACGGUAACUCAUGAAUAAGCACCGGCUAACUACGUGCCAGCAGCCGCGGUAAU